ensembl:lncRNA
UGUCUGGCACCUUCCAGUUUCCAACCUCCCUGCGCCCUUAGUUCCUUUGCCGCUUCUGGCGCAAGCACCAGCAGCACCCUCUGCCGACCAGGACCCCCCAGCAUCCGUUCCCGACGCUGGUCCAGCAGCGGGCGCGAAUAACACCGGCCAAGGGGGACGAGGUUCAUAUGGACGGCACCUCCGACAGCAACGCUAAGGACGUCGCGAAGGGCGAAGCCAAGGAGGCUUUCACCACGACUACCCCAGCUACGGGCGCUGCAACCUCGGCCUCAUCCCCGGUCGACGUCGUCCGAGGCUGGGUCAAGGGAGUGGUUGCGGUCACCUCGCUCCUGACAGAGCUCCCAGUCAUCCGCCAGAUCUGUGGCCUCUUGCUGGCCGUCCACCCGGCUGGCCACCAGACACUCCGCCCCUAGUCGGCUGUCCACCAGGCACUACGUCCCUGUUCGGCCGUCCACCAGACAUUCCGCUCCGGUUCGGCCCCGGCUGGACUGCCAGCCUUGCCCUUGACCCCUCCACCCACCCUGUGGGAAGGUUAUUAUUUUUUUUUUUUUGUGAUGUUAAGGGCCGUCUGGAAUCUGGCCGUAAAAGGGGGGGUAAUGUCACGUUCCUGCAGAGCUCCGCUCCGGCCACGCCCCCUUCAGCUCACUAACUCUCCCAGCUGCACGCUCAUCAGCUGCAUUCAGGUCCCCAAUCACACAAGCACAUACACCUGUUUCACUCUCUCGCCUCACUCACCAGCACCACGCUCACAGUCACCGGAGUACGGAUCACUCACACCUGCAUCCUCACUCACCUGCACCGCGUUUGCACUAACCUGGUUCCUAAUCACCCACACCUGUCACAGCCCCUACAUAUACCUCACACUCCCUUCAUGCGGUGUCUGGUAUUGCACGUCUACGGAUCACAAUCCUGAGAAUUCCUGCAGCCUGACUCUCUCUCUUGGAUUAUCGCUAUUCCCGUCAUAGUUGGCAUUUGUGUUCAGCUUCGCCUUUGUUUCAGUUUUGUGUUCGAGCAUAGCUCUCCUUUAGUUAAUCCUUUGCCGAGUGUGACUCGUGUUUUGUUUGCCGCAACGGCGUUUAUAGUUUCUAGUUUCGAUCCUACAGAGGUUGCCUCUACGUGUUCUUUUCUGCGCGCUGAUCGCCAGCCCUCUUGGGUCUCGGCA